rnacentral:rRNA from 1 species
GUGGGGACGACGUCAAGUCAUCAUGGCCCUUACGAGUAGGGCUACACACGUGCUACAAUGGCGUAUACAGAGGGCAGCGAUACCGCGAGGUGGAGCGAAUCUCACAAAGUACGUCGUAGUCCGGAUUGGAGUCUGCAACUCGACUCCAUGAAGUCGGAAUCGCUAGUAAUCGCAAAUCAGAAUGUUGCGGUGAAUACGUUCCCGGGCCUUGUACACACCGCCC